rnacentral:rRNA from 1 species
GACGUAGGGGGCGAGCGUUGUUCGGAUUUACUGGGCGUAAAGCGCGCGUAGGCGGCUAGAUAAGUCGGGUGUGAAAUCCCUCGGCUUAACCGAGGACCCGCAUCCGAUACUGCCUGGCUCGAGUCUAGAAAAAAAAAGCAAAAUUCCCAGUAUAGCGGUGAAAUGCGUAGAUAUUGGAAGGAACACCGGUGGCGAAGGCGGCUUUCCGGACUAGCACUGACGCUGAGGCGCGAAAGCUAGGGGAGCGAACGGG